UCCAGACUCCUACGGGAGGCAGCAGUGAGGAAUAUUGGUCAAUGGACGAAAGUCUGAACCAGCCAUGCCGCGUGCAGGAAGACGGCUCUAUGAGUUGUAAACUGCUUUUGUACAAGGGUAAACCUGAAUACGUGUAUUCAGCUGAAAGUACUGUACGAAUAAGGAUCGGCUAACUCCGUGCCAGCAGCCGCGGUAAUACGGAGGAUCCAAGCGUUAUCCGGAUUUAUUGGGUUUAAAGGGUGCGUAGGCGGGCUUUUAAGUCAGCGGUAAAAAUUCGGGGCUCAACCCCGUCCGGCCGUUGAAACUGGGGGCCUUGGGUGGGCGAGAAGAAGGCGGAAUGCGUGGUGUAGCGGUGAAAUGCAUAGAUAUCACGCAGAACUCCGAUUGCGAAGGCAGCAUACCGGCGCUCAACUGACGCUCAUGCACGAAAGCGUGGGUAUCGAACAGGAUUAGAUACCCCAGUAC
rnacentral:rRNA from 1 species